rnacentral:tRNA from 1 species
UCCCUGGUGGCUCAGACGGUUAAGCACCUGUCUACAAUGCAGGAGACCUGGGUUCGAUCCCUGGGUCGGGAA